rnacentral:rRNA from 1 species
GAUGAACGCUGGCGGCGUGCCUAAUACAUGCAAGUCGAACGCAUAGCGAAAGGUGCUUGCACCUUUCAAGUGAGUGGCGAACGGGUGAGUAACACGUGGACAACCUGCCUCAAGGCUGGGGAUAACAUUUGGAAACAGAUGCUAAUACCGAAUAAAACUUAGUGUCGCAUGACACAAAGUUAAAAGGCGCUUCGGCGUCACCUAGAGAUGGAUCCGCGGUGCAUUAGUUAGUUGGUGGGGUAAAGGCCUACCAAGACAAUGAUGCAUAGCCGAGUUGAGAGACUGAUCGGCCAAAUUGGGAAUGAGAAACGGCCCAAACUCCUACGGGAGGCCGCAGGAGGGAAACUUCCACAAUGGGGGAAAGCCUGAUGGAGCAACGGCGCGUGGGUGAAGAAGGCUUUCGGGGUGGAAAGAACUGUUGUAUGGGAAAAACAGCUAGAAAAGGAAAUGAUUUUAGUUUGACGGUACCAUACCAGAAAGGGACGGCUAAAUACGUG